UGGCACCUUUGAAAAAUAACGUAAAGAAUUCCAAAUUUGGACCUGUUUUUUGGUCGAAGUAUUUUCAUUAGUACGUAGUUGUUGGCUUUACUGGCAGACAUCAUCCUUGAAGGUUGCAUUUCUGUAAAUAUUGACAAUGCAAUUUCCCAUAGGAACUCCUUUUACGGCUAAAACUGUACCACUUUUACUAUGAAGUUUUGAAAAAAAUCUUAUCCUAGAAUUGAAAGUUCAUAUGCACCACAAUUUUUUUUCAAAGGUCAAAAUAUAGGGCUGUGCGGCAUAUUUUCAACGUUUAUAUGCCCUGAACUUCGCAGAGUUUAAACUUACACUAAUUUUCUUAACUACCC
rnacentral:lncRNA from 1 species